rnacentral:rRNA from 1 species
UGGGGAAUUUUGGACAAUGGGCGCAAGCCUGAUCCAGCCAUGCCGCGUGCGGGAAGAAGGCCUUCGGGUUGUAAACCGCUUUUGUCAGGGAAGAAAUCUUCUGAGUUAAUACCUCGGGAGGAUGACGGUACCUGAAGAAUAAGCACCGGCUAACUACGUGCCAGCAGCCGCGGUAAUACGUAGGGUGCAAGCGUUAAUCGGAAUUACUGGGCGUAAAGCGUGCGCAGGCGGUUUUGUAAGACAGAGGUGAAAUCCCCGGGCUCAACCUGGGAACUGCCUUUGUGACUGCAAGGCUUGAGUGCGGCAGAGGGGGAUGGAAUUCCGCGUGUAGCAGUGAAAUUGCGUAGAUAUGCGGAGGAACACCG